rnacentral:rRNA from 1 species
UACGUAGGGUGCGAGCGUUGUCCGGAAUUAUUGGGCGUAAAGGGCUCGUAGGCGGUUUGUCGCGUCGGGAGUGAAAUCCACUGGCUUAACUGGUGGCUUGCUUUCGAUACGGGCAGACUGGAGGUAUGCAGGGGAGAACGGAAUUCCUGGUGUAGCGGUGAAAUGCGUAGAUAUCGAGAGGAACACCAGAGGUGAAGACGGGUUGCUGGGCCGACACUGACGCUGACAGCGCGAAAGCCAGGGGAGCAAACGGG